AUACCUUUCUCGGCCUUUUGGUUAAGAUCAAGUGUAGUAUCUAUUCUUAUCAGUUUAAUAUCUGAUAUGUGGGUCAUGUGCUCACAACAAUAUUAAAUUUAUCUUUCGUGGGGGAGGGUCCACCACAGUGGCUUGCACUACAGCCCAGGCAGGUGCACCCCAA
rfam:Triticum aestivum genome assembly, contig: Triticum_aestivum_CS42_TGACv1_scaffold_513450_6BS